GACGAACGCUGGCGGCGUGCUUAACACAUGCAAGUCGAACGGAAAGGCCCUGCUUUUGUGGGGUGCUCGAGUGGCGAACGGGUGAGUAACACGUGAGUAACCUGCCCUUGACUUUGGGAUAACUUCAGGAAACUGGGGCUAAUACCGGAUAGGAGCUCCUGCUGCAUGGUGGGGGUUGGAAAGUUUCGGCGGUUGGGGAUGGACUCGCGGCUUAUCAGCUUGUUGGUGGGGUAGUGGCUUACCAAGGCUUUGACGGGUAGCCGGCCUGAGAGGGUGACCGGCCACAUGGGGAAGGGGAUACGGCCCAGACCCCUACGGGAGGGAGGAGGGGGGAAUUUUGCCCAAUGGGGGGAAGCCGGAGGCAGCAACCCCGGGUGCGGGAUGACGGCCUUCGGGUUGAAAACCGCUUUCGCCUGUGACGAAGCGUGGGUGACGGUAAUGGGUAAAGAAGCACCGGCUAACUACGU
rnacentral:rRNA from 1 species